rnacentral:lncRNA from 1 species
AGUAUACGGCUAUGAAGCCGUAGUGCCAACUGAGAUAACAGUUCCUUCUCUAAGGGUGGAAAAACAAAAAAAAAAUUUGACGGCAGAUGAAUAUAAGUUGCUAAUGAAUGAAAGAACAGAAGAAAUGAAUGAAACUCGGCUGAUAGCAUUUGACGAUGUACGAGCGUAUCAGAGCCGAGUACGUAGAGUAUAUAAUAAAAGAGUUAAAG